UAGCUAGUUGGUGGGGUAAGGGCCCACCAAGGCGACGAUCGGUAGCUGGUCUGAGAGGAUGGCCAGCCACACUGGAACUGAGACACGGUCCAGACUCCUACGGGAGGCAGCAGUGGGGAAUACUGGACAAUGGGGGGAACCCUGAUCCAGCAAUGCCGCGUGUGUGAAGAAGGCCUGAGGGUUGUAAAGCACUUUCAGUGGGGAGGAGGAUGUUUUGGUUAAGAGCUGGAGCAUUGGACGUUACCCACAGAAGAAGCACCGGCUAACUCCGUGCCAGCAGCCGCGGUAAUACGGAGGGUGCGAGCGUUAAUCGGAAUUACUGGGCGUAAAGAGUGCGUAGGUGGUUGACUAAGUUAUCUGUAAAAUCCCUGGGCUUAACCUGGGCAGGUCAGAUGAUACUGGUUGACUCGAGUAUGGGAGAGGGUAGUGGAAUUUCCGGUGUAGCGGUGAAAUGCGUAGAGAUCGGAAGGAACACCAGUGGCGAAGGCGGCUACCUGGCCUAAUACUGACACUGAGGCACGAAAGCGUGGGAGCAAACAGGAUUAGAUACCCUGGUAGUCCACGCCGUAAACGAUGUCAACUAGCUGUUGGUUAUAUGAAUAUAAUUAGUGGCGC
rnacentral:rRNA from 1 species